rnacentral:tRNA from 1 species
AGGGGUGUAGCUCAGUAGUAGAGUGCAUGCUUAGCAUGCAUGAGGCCCUUGGUUAGGUCCCCAGCAACCCUC